rnacentral:rRNA from 1 species
GCAAGCUCCAGGCCUAACACAUGCAAGUCGAGCGCACCUUACGGGUGAGCGGCGGACGGGUGAGUAACGCGUGGGAACGUGCCCUUGGGUAAGGAACAACAGUUGGAAACGACUGCUAAUACCUUAUGACGUCUUCGGACCAAAGAUUUAUCGCCCAGGGAUUGGCCCGCGUUGGAUUAGCUAGUUGGUGGGGUAAUGGCCUACCAAGGCUACGAUCCAUAGCUGGUUUGAGAGGAUGAUCAGCCACACUGGGACUGAGACACAGCCCAGACUCCUACGGGAGGCAGCAGUGGGGAAUCUUAGACAAUGGACGCAAGUCUGAUCUAGCCAUGCCGCGUGAGCGAUGAAGGCCUUAGGGUUGUAAAGCUCUUUCACCGGUGAAGAUAAUGACGGUAGCCGGAGAAGAAGCCCCGGCUAACUCCGUGCCAGCAGCCGCGGUAAUACGGAGGGGGCUAGCGUUGUUCGGAAUUACUGGGCGUAAAGCGCGCGUAGGCGGAUUGUUAAGUCGGGGGUGAAAUCCCGGGGCUCAACCCCGGAACUGCCUCCGAUACUGGCAGUCUUGAGGUCGAGAGAGGUGAGUGGAAUUCCGAGUGUAGAGGU